rnacentral:rRNA from 1 species
GGUUAAGUGACUAAGCGUACACGGUGGAUGCCUAGGCAGUCAGAGGCGAUGAAGGGCGUGCUAAUCUGCGAAAAGCGUCGGUAAGGUGAUAUGAACCGUUACAACCGGCGAUACCCGAAUGGGGAAACCCAGUGUGUUUCGACACACUAUCAUGUCAUGAAUACAUAGUGGCAUGAGGCGAACCGGGGGAACUGAAACAUCUAAGUACCCCGAGGAAAAGAAAUCAACCGAGAUUCCCCCAGUAGCGGCGAGCGAACGGGAGGAGCCCAGAACCUGAAUCGGCUUGUGUGUUAGUGGAAGCGUCUGGAAAGUCGCGCAGCAAAGGGUGAUAGCCCCGUACACUAAAAUGCACAGGUCGUGAGUUCGAUGAGUAGGGCGGGACACGUGACAUCCUGUCUGAAUAUGGGGGACCAUCCUCCAAGGCUAAAUACUCCUGACUGACCGAUAGUGAACCAGUACCGUGAGGGAAAGCGAAAAGAACCCCGGCGAGGGAGUGAAAUAGAACCUGAAACCGUGUACGUACAAGCAGUGGGAGCACCUUCGUGGUGUGACUGCGUACCUUUAUAAUGGGUCAGCGACUUAUAUUUUGUAGCAAGGUUAACCGUAUAGGGAGCCGUAGGGAAACCGAGUCUUAACUGGGCGAAUAGUUGCAAGGUAUAGACCCGAAACCCGGUGAUCUAGCCAUGGGCAGGUUGAAGGUUGGGUAACACUAACUGGAGGACCGAACCGACUAAUGUUGAAAAAUUAGCGGAUGACUUGUGGCUGGGGUGAAAGGCCAAUCAAACCGGGAGAUAGCUGGUUCUCCCGAAAGCUAUUUAGGUAGCGCCUCGUGAACUCAUCUUCGGGGUAGAGCACUGUUUCGGCUAGGGGCCAUCCACCAAACCGAUGCAAACUCCGAAUACCGAAGAAUGUUAUCACGGGAGACACACGGCGGGUGCUAACGUCCGUCGUGAAGAGGGAAACAACCCAGACCGCCAGCUAAGGUCCCAAAGUCAUGGUUAAGUGGGAAACGAUGUGGGAAGGCACAGACAGCCAGGAUGUUGGCUUAGAAGCAGCCAUCAUUUAAAGAAAGCGUAAUAGCUCACUGGUCGAGUCGGCCUGCGCGGAAGAUGUAACGGGGCUAAACCAUGCACCGAAGCUGCGGCAGCGACGCUUAGGCGUUGUUGGGUAGGGGAGCGUUCUGUAAGCCGUUGAAGGUGGCCUGUGAGGGUUGCUGGAGGUAUCAGAAGUGCGAAUGCUGACAUAAGUAACGAUAAAGCGGGUGAAAAGCCCGCUCGCCGGAAGACCAAGGGUUCCUGUCCAACGUUAAUCGGGGCAGGGUGAGUCGACCCAAGGCGAGGCUGAAAAGCGUAGUCGAUGGGAAACAGGUUAAUAUUCCUGUACUUGGUGUUACUGCGAAGGGGGACGGAGAAGGCUAGGCUAGCCGGGCGACGGUUGUCCCGGUUUAAGCGUGUAGGGGUGGACCUGGUAAAUCCGGUUGCAUACUAACCCUGAGGCGUGAUGACGAUGCACUACGGUGCAGAAGUAGUUGAUGCCCUGCUUCCAGGAAAAUCCUCUAAGCUCCAGGUAACAUUAAAUCGUACCCCAAACCGACACAGGUGGUCAGGUAGAGAAUACCAAGGCGCUUGAGAGAACUCGGGUGAAGGAACUAGGCAAAAUGGUGCCGUAACUUCGGGAGAAGGCACGCUGGCAUGUAGGUGAAGUCCCUUGCGGAUGGAGCCGAAGCCAGUCGAAGAUACCAGCUGGCUGCAACUGUUUAAUAAAACACAGCACUGUGCAAACACGAAAGUGGACGUAUACGGUGUGACGCCUGCCCGGUGCUGGAAGGUUAAUUGAUGGGGUCAGCCGCAAGGCGAAGCUCUUGAUCGAAGCCCCAGUAAACGGCGGCCGUAACUAUAACGGUCCUAAGGUAGCGAAAUUCCUUGUCGGGUAAGUUCCGACCUGCACGAAUGGCGUAAUGAUGGCCAGGCUGUCUCCACCCGAGACUCAGUGAAAUUGAACUCGCUGUGAAGAUGCAGUGUACCCGCGGCAAGACGGAAAGACCCCGUGAACCUUUACUAUAGCUUGACACUGAACAUUGAGCCUUGAUGUGUAGGAUAGGUGGGAGGCUUUGAAGCGUGGACGCCAGUCUGCGUGGAGCCAUCCUUGAAAUACCACCCUUUAAUGUUUGAUGUUCUAACUCUGCCCCAUAAUCUGGGGUGAGGACAGUGUCUGGUGGGUAGUUUGACUGGGGCGGUCUCCUCCCAAAGAGUAACGGAGGAGCACGAAGGUUAGCUAAUCACGGUCGGACAUCGUGAGGUUAGUGCAAAGGCAUAAGCUAGCUUGACUGCGAGAGUGACGGCUCGAGCAGGUACGAAAGUAGGUCUUAGUGAUCCGGUGGUUCUGAAUGGAAGGGCCAUCGCUCAACGGAUAAAAGGUACUCCGGGGAUAACAGGCUGAUACCGCCCAAGAGUUCAUAUCGACGGCGGUGUUUGGCACCUCGAUGUCGGCUCAUCACAUCCUGGGGCUGAAGUAGGUCCCAAGGGUAUGGCUGUUCGCCAUUUAAAGUGGUACGCGAGCUGGGUUUAGAACGUCGUGAGACAGUUCGGUCCCUAUCUGCCGUGGGCGUUGGAAGAUUGAGAGGGGUUGCUCCUAGUACGAGAGGACCGGAGUGAACGCACCACUGGUGUUCGGGUUGUCAUGCCAAUGGCAUUGCCCGGUAGCUAAGUGCGGAAAAGAUAAGCGCUGAAAGCAUCUAAGCGCGAAACUUGCCUCAAGAUGAGUCUUCCCUGGGCCUUUAAGGCCCCUGAAGGAACGUUUAAGACUAAGACGUUGAUAGGCUGGGUGUGUAAGUGCAGCGAUGCAUUGAGCUAACCAGUACUAAUGAUCCGUGAGGCUUAACCUU